rnacentral:rRNA from 1 species
AUUGAACGCUGGCGGCAGGCCUAACACAUGCAAGUCGAACGGUAACAGGAAGAAGCUUGCUUCUUUGCUGACGAGUGGCGGACGGGUGAGUAAUGUCUGGGAAACUGCCUGAUGGAGGGGGAUAACUACUGGAAACGGUAGCUAAUACCGCAUAACGUCGCAAGACCAAAGAGGGGGACCUUCGGGCCUCUUGCCAUCGGAUAUGCCCAGAUGGGAUUAGCUAGUAGGUGGGGUAACGGCUCACCUAGGCGACGAUCCCUAGCUGGUCUGAGAGGAUGACCGGCCACACUGGAACGGAGACACGGUCCAGACUCCUACGGGAGGCAGCAGUGGGGAAUAUUGCACAAUGGGCGCAAGCCUGAUGCAGCCAUGCCGCGUGUAUGAAGAAGGCCUUCGGGUUGUAAAGUACUUUCAGCGGGGAGGAAGGGAGUAAAGUUAAUACCUUUGCUCAUUGACGUUACCCGCAGAAGAAGCACCGGCUAACUCCGUG